AGCGAACGCUGGCGGCAGGCUUAACACAUGCAAGUCGAGCGCCGUAGCAAUACGGAGCGGCAGACGGGUGAGUAACACGUGGGAACGUACCUUUUGGUUCGGAACAACACAGGGAAACUUGUGCUAAUACCGGAUAAGCCCUUACGGGGAAAGAUUUAUCGCCGAAAGAUCGGCCCGCGUCUGAUUAGCUAGUUGGUGAGGUAACGGCUCACCAAGGCGACGAUCAGUAGCUGGUCUGAGAGGAUGAUCAGCCACACUGGGACUGAGACACGGCCCAGACUCCUACGGGAGGCAGCAGUGGGGAAUAUUGGACAAUGGGCGCAAGCCUGAUCCAGCCAUGCCGCGUGAGUGAUGAAGGCCCUAGGGUUGUAAAGCUCUUUUGUGCGGGAAGAUAAUGACUGUACCGCAAGAAUAAGCCCCGGCUAACUUCGUGCCAGCCGCCGCAGUAAGAC
rnacentral:rRNA from 1 species